rnacentral:rRNA from 1 species
CAGUCGUACCGGCGGAUAAUCAGCCUUUCGGGUGCGAUUCUGUGGGGCGUGAGGAGCUUAACCGCCUUCAUGUUUUGCAUAUUCGUGCACAUUUGGUGUACUUGUCCGUGUGGUGGGUUAACAUCAAUUUCGGUCGUCAUAAAAUGAUUGGAGGAAUGUAGCUUUGGUCUCGUAUCGAAGUGUUAUAGACUCUGGUAGAUGUGACGAGUGGGAUUGAGGAUUGCAACGGAUACCCCUUCGGGGGCUACCCGUCUGAUCUCUGAAGGUUGCUCCGGUGCCGAAAGCGUGCUUACGGUCAUCGAAAGUGAUUUUCAAAAGGUUAGAACGGGUUAAAUUCGUUAAGGAUGUUGACGUAAUGGCUUUAAACGA